GAAGGGGGGGGUGGUGAAAUCUUUAUCAUGGAAUAACUAAUAGUACUAGUGAGUCGAUGAUAAAGAUUUCACCGCCCUCCCUUAG